GACGAACGCUGGCGGCGUGCUUAACACAUGCAAGUCGUACGGUAAGGCCCUUUCGGGGGUACACGAGUGGCGAACGGGUGAGUAACACGUGAGUAACCUGCCCACAACUUUGGGAUAACGCUAGGAAACUGGUGCUAAUACUGGAUAUGUGCUCCUGCUGCAUGGUGGGGGUUGGAAAGCUCCGGCGGUUGUGGAUGGACUCGCGGCCUAUCAGCUUGUUGGUGGGGUAGUGGCCUACCAAGGCGGCGACGGGUAGCCGGCCUGAGAGGGUGACCGGCCACAUUGGGACUGAGAUACGGCCCAGACUCCUACGGGAGGCAGCAGUGGGGAAUAUUGCACAAGGGGCGCAAGCCUGAUGCAGCAACGCCGCGUGCGGGAUGACGGCCUUCGGGUUGUAAACCGCUUUCAGCAGGGACGAAGCUUUUUGUGACGGUAUCUGCAGAAGAAGCACCGGCUAACUACGUG
rnacentral:rRNA from 1 species